AAGACUCCUCCAGAUAGCAUGUUAUCAUGCCCUGCCGGCUACUUUUAUCGAUAGCAUUAUUGUUCAGUGGGUGCAAGAUCAGCCAUAGUUUAGAUAAGUUUGUACUGUUGUAACACUCUUGAGUUUUUAUUUGCUUGUUUGCCAUUAUUAACACAAAAUAAACAGCAAAUAUAUCUCUUAGUACUUCGCAAUGUUUUAUUUCGUAGUGGCAAAGUGCCGAUAGUUAGAUAAGCCUAACCCGUCGCGAGUUGUGCCUUCAUUUAAUACACUACCAUCUGCAGUGAAAUUGAUAUAAUCCCUAACAGCACGAACAAACCUGCUUCAGAAGUAAUAGCCUCUGCACCGCUGUCAUCGUCGUCAUCACCUUCAAAGUUUUGCUCAACAAGCCAUUUCGCAAUCACGCCAGAAUGUUUUGCAAUCCAGUGCAGAUUUUCUUCUGCCUGUGCAAGAGCACGAGUUGCUGCCUGCAUCGAUGAAGGAUUCAACGAUGUUUGUCCAUCAUUCCUUCAAUCAUUUUAUCAUUUUACGUACCAUAUCGUACUCCCUUGGAGAGUUAACACUGUCGCCGAGAGCGUUAAACAUCGCCGAAAGCUCAUGAUUGAGCAUGUUUGAAACCGUAUCGAAUCGUGCACUCACAUAGCGGAACGCUGCACUCCGUGUUGCCGGACCUCCUUUAAUCAUGCUGUUCAGGAUGUUAUUUUUCAUGCUCACCGUGAUCGGAAGUGCGGUUUCAUUUAUUUCAAUCAUUUGUAGAUAGAACUCGUUCAUGGCCAGAUUGCGGGAACAUCCCAACGCAUUAAUAAACUUAUCCAUCAACGGCUGGUAUUGAUCCAUCGCUAGCCAGUAUUUUUGGAAAAUCUCCAAGCCAUAGUCUCCUUCAACGAGCAGAUCAUAUUUGUGCAAUGCACAAAAGACGGCGUUUUGCAAUUCUUUGGGAAUGUUUAACGUUUCCUCGGCAAGUGCUUCUUCUAUUAUUUUAGUUGCAGCAUCCAAGCACGUCUCAACACCGAAAUAACACGCCAAGUAAACGGACUUGUCACGAUGUAAACGGUUCAGAUGGCUUUCAAUAUCAAAUAGAUUCAUUUCGUUAAACACAUGCGAGGCUAAACUUCCUA